rnacentral:lncRNA from 1 species
GAGGGACUAACACAAUUGUGAUGCACAACACCUGUGAAGAUUCCCUCUUGGCUGCACCAAUUAUCCUGGAUUUGGUUCUUCUUGCUGAGCUCAGCACUAGGAUUCAGCUCAAGGCUGAAGGAGAGGUUUGUGAAGUUUUCUUGUUCCUCUUGUUGUGUCUGGUUUGCUUUUAGCCUGAUGAUUGAUUGAGUUCAUUUCUGUUCAAUUUUACAGGGAAAGUUCCACUCUUUCCACCCUGUUGCUACCAUUCUCAGUUACCUUACCAAGGCUCCUCUGGUGAGUCCAUACCACCAAUUAAUUAUUGUCUUCCCGAAGUUUGGACCAAGUUGUUACAACAGGAGUCUCAUGUGAGUUUGUGUUUAAUGAAACAGGUGCCACCAGGGACUCCAGUGGUGAAUGCACUGUCAAAGCAGAGGGCAAUGCUGGAGAACAUCAUGAGAGCUUGUGUUGGACUGGCACCUGAGAACAACAUGAUCUUGGAAUACAAGUGAAAAGAAAGGGGACCUUUACCUUCCCACCUAGUAUAGUACCUGGAAGAAGAGGUUGUGUGGUGGAAGAUGAUGAUGACAUUUAAUUAACUAGAAGGAUUAUGAAGGAAGAAGAACCUAUUUUCCAGUUUCUCUUUUCCUUUUUUUUUAGUUUGCUUUGGUAAUGUGUGGACUUUUUUUUUAUUUUGCUUUGGUAAUGUGUGGAAAAAUGUUUCCUUUAGAUUUCCGCCUUGAAAUAGUGGUGAUGAUGGUUUCAAUCAAGUGGCUCUCUUGUGGUGUUGGAAAUUUGAAUGGAAAAUUAUAUAAAUGUGUAAGUUUUCCUAUAUGUGCCUUUUCAUGUGCUUUAAAGGUUUGUAAUUUCGCAAUCUCAAAUAAUACAUCAUUUUAUUUCUAUAACAAAUGUGAGACCUAUUUAGAGAUUUAAUUAUUAGCAUCAAAGGGAAUGGAUUAA